UCCUCGCUGGUGUAACGGCAGCACGCCCGCCUCUGAAGCGGGUAGUCCAGGUUCGAAUCCAGGGCGAGGAG
rnacentral:tRNA from 1 species